GUCAAUGAGUUCUCCCUCUCUCUCUUUUUUUAGAAUAGCAUGCAUCUGUGAGUCAGACAUGAAACCAUGUUUGAUCUAGAAUGAACGAGGUCGGUGGGAAUAAAAAACACUGACUCUAAAAUAAUAAUAAAGAUGAUAAUUAUGGACAUGAGAGUAUUUAAUACGUGCCAAGUACUCUACUGAAUGCCUUGAUCUGAAUGAACUUAUUUAAAUUUCCACCACAACCCUGUAAAGUUAGAUAAUAUUAGCCCCCUUUUUUUUUAUAACUGCAGAAACUGAGCUCAGAGAGGCUCAUGCUCAUGGACCCAGGAAGGGCGGGACCAAGACUUAAAACAAGCAGAUUGACUUCAGAACCUGGGUUCUUCAUCCUUGAAGCUGGUUAAGUAAAGACCUCUGGAUUUCACACUCAGGAAUGGGGUUAUUAUCCUGGAGACAGAGGGUAGAGCUUAGGAGUCAUGUGGAUUUCUGAAACUAUUUACAAAUUUUAACAUGGAUGCAAGAGUGUGUUUUCAUUGGAAGGGAAGUCCCAAGCUUUCAUAAAGUUCUCAAAGAGACCCUGAAUGAUGUCUGUCUCACCCACUUCUUCGGAUUUGCUUCAGUGUAGACUUUCCUGCUGAAGGCCAUUUAUUAAUUCUAUGUUCUGUUAUCUCAACACAACAAAAUCUAGACUUAACCCUCUGUGUCCCAAUGGGUUGAUGAAUGGGACAAUUAUCUUCAGUCCCUUAUGAGCAGGGAAAUGGCAUUUUGGAUCUACUCAAACAUACAGCCUCCUAAGCCCUAGACUGAAGAAGUGGCAAUGUCCUGCCAAAAGGACACUAUUUACAUGGCUGCUAUUAAUACAUAAAAUGAUUACUUGCAUAAUUUUUUUUUAAAAAUCAAGAGGUACUAUGAUUUAAGCAAACAAGGUUGAAAAUGAUUUCUCUCAGCUUUCAUACACUCUGAUUUUUAUGCAAAAAAACUUGGUAAAAUAGAAUAAAGCUGAUCUCAGGCUUUUAAAAAAGGUUUUU
rnacentral:lncRNA from 12 species